UGGCCCAACUCUUUCUUCCUCUCGUUAAUCUUAGACUCUCUCUCUACCUUCCCAAGUUUGGACCCUCACUAAGGCACUCUCGCUCUCGUUAAUCUUAGACCCUCACCUCACCCUCCUCGCCCUCACUCAGUCACUCUCUCUCUCAACAUCACCCUCCUCGCCGAUUUCUCUCAUCCUCCCACAUCAGACAAGUGACUCACCUAUCAUCCCUCACCUCACUGUGCACCGAUUCUCCCCCAAAUCAGUUCAAAAAGUGUAUAGAUGUCGCAGUUGAUCACUCGUCGUCAGAGUGUGACCAAUGCGCCUCCCUCAUUAUUAGCAUCUACUGCUCCAGCAGUGAGUGCUCCAUUGAUUAGGGAGCCUACACCCCUUGUUGAGGCUACUUCUAUGGCGUCCUAGGUGCCCGUCUCAUCGACAUCAUCAAUUUCGGAAGAGCAAAUGAGGGUGCAGCUGAUGGCCCAGGGUGAGGAGAUGAGGACCUAUGCCGGGAUGGUGAAAGACCUUGUACAAGCCAUACAGAUGUCCGGCCUCCAAAUCUCGCUACCAACAUCUCAUCUUGCUCCACCUUCGACCUCAGAGCCACCUUACCCUGCCGUUACCUAGUAGCCUAAUGUAUUAAGCCUAGUUCACUUGUAGUUUUUUCUUUUUUGUUCGAACAUCUUGUAUGUACAUUUUCAUAUAUUUUACAAUUAAAUACUUUUGCUUGGUUAA